rnacentral:tRNA from 1 species
GUAGAUGUGGCUCAGUUGGUAGAGUGCUUGCCUUGCAUGCAUGGAGCCCGGGGUUCAAUCCCCAGUGUUGCA